CAACCAGACUCCUACGGGAGGCAGCAGUGGGGAAUAUUGCACAAUGGGGGAAACCCUGAUGCAGCGACGCCGCGUGAGUGAAGAAGUAAUUCGUUAUGUAAAGCUCUAUCAGCAGGGAAGAAAAUGACGGUACCUGAGUAAGAAGCCCCGGCUAACUACGUGCCAGCAGCCGCGGUAAUACGUAGGGGGCAAGCGUUAUCCGGAUUCACUGGGUGUAAAGGGAGCGUAGACGGCCAUGCAAGCCUGGAGUGAAAGCCCGGGGCCCAACCCCGGGACUGCUCUGGGAACUGUGCGGCUGGAGUGCGGGAGGGGCAGGCGGAAUUCCUGGUGUAGCGGUGAAAUGCGUAGAUAUCAGGAGGAACACCGGCGGCGAAGGCGGCCUGCUGGACCGCGACUGACGUUGAGGCUCGAAAGCGUGGGGAGCAAACAGGAUUAGAUACCCUCGUAC
rnacentral:rRNA from 1 species